rnacentral:lncRNA from 1 species
AGAACAUUUGAGUUUUUUUUAUUCAAACAAUCAUAUUAAUCACUCCAGUCAGGUCUGAUUGGAUGAUACCUAAAUGAUUGCAAUUUCAGGUGCUUCAAAUUGCAUAUUUGGUAGUGGUCCAACACUCCAACAGUCCAACUUCAACCAAUCUACUAUAGCUGUGCUGCUUCAUAAAUAUCUCAAGCAUGUUAUAAUUCAACUUCAUCAUUGUGUUGACUUCUUGAAUCACUAAACUAAAAUAUAAAUUUUCUUUAGUUUAUUACUUACCUUUAUGGAUUCUCUUUAAUCUCCUUUCUUGUAACAAAGGUUUGGGUGACUGGAGGAUUUUCUUGUUCUUGAAACAUAAUGCAAUGCUCGAAAAAGAUAUAUUUUGAUAGUUGCAAUUGCAUUAAGUAAAUGAUCUUUGGUCCUGGUGUAAUUGUUCCAGUAAAUUAUAGGAUAACACUAAUAGAUAUUACAAGUAUUUUCAAAAUAAACAAUCUAAGAGGUCUGAUUUCAGCAAUAGCAAAGGAUGGAAGUAUAUGAGAGAUAACAAAGUUUGAUAGUAGGGAAGGGAAGAUAUAUGAUGAAUAAAGGGGAGGACUGCAAUGUACCAGCACAUGAGAAGAUUUUUAUUUUUUAUCUUUUAAUAUGUUCCAAAUAACUAUUGUUUUUUAUUUCUGAUGGACCCAUGUUUAUGUAGACUAAACUACUCAAAACAUUGUAUUGUGAUCACAGAAGCCGGUAUUUAUUCUUGGCUUACUGAUUUUUUUUAUUUACCAUAUCCUAGGAGCCAGAAUUUCACUUAUAUUAGAGUAAACUUGAUUCUGAUAAUAGACUUGGAAUUUGUAAAUUUUCAGUACUUUAAAUCUCUUGCUUUGGCUAAAAGAAGCAUUCAAACAUUUUGGAACAUUUCAAAGUCAAUAAAAGUUUUAGCAUGAAGGUAGUGGAAGCUAAAACAAUAUCAAGAUUUUUGAGGAUCAGUAUCGGAUGGCUUAAUCUAGUGCAUCAUGUGGCUAAUGCAUAUGUUCUCCACAAAAUUUAUAUUUGAUACAUCUAGAAAAUCCUACUCAUGGUGCUCCUAACCUUGCUGAUCUGGGUUGCCUCAAUUUUCUGUAUACAGAACUUGCAUGAAACCUAAAAUUUUUUUACAUAAUUAGAUCCAAUGCCAUCAUUUGUAUCUCUCUUUUCU